CUAACACAUGCAAGUCGAGCGGAUGAAGGGAGCUUGCUCCUGGAUUCAGCGGCGGACGGGUGAGUAAUGCCUAGGAAUCUGCCUGGUAGUGGGGGAUAACGUCCGGAAACGGGCGCUAAUACCGCAUACGUCCUGAGGGAGAAAGUGGGGGAUCUUCGGACCUCACGCUAUCAGAUGAGCCUAGGUCGGAUUAGCUAGUUGGUGGGGUAAAGGCCUACCAAGGCGACGAUCCGUAACUGGUCUGAGAGGAUGAUCAGUCACACUGGAACUGAGACACGGUCCAGACUCCUACGGGAGGCAGCAGUGGGGAAUAUUGGACAAUGGGCGAAAGCCUGAUCCAGCCAUGCCGCGUGUGUGAAGAAGGUCUUCGGAUUGUAAAGCACUUUAAGUUGGGAGGAAGGGCAGUAAGUUAAUACCUUGCUGUUUUGACGUUACCAACAGAAUAAGCACCGGCUAACUUCGUGCCAGCAGCCGCGGUAAUACGAAGGGUGCAAGCGUUAAUCGGAAUUACUGGGCGUAAAGCGCGCGUAGGUGGUUCAGCAAGUUGGAUGUGAAAUCCCCGGGCUCAACCUGGGAACUGCAUCCAAAACUACUGAGCUAGAGUACGGUAGAGGGUGGUGGAAUUUCCUGUGUAGCGGUGAAAUGCGUAGAUAUAGGAAGGAACACCAGUGGCGAAGGCGACCACCUGGACUGAUACUGACACUGAGUGCGAA
rnacentral:rRNA from 1 species